rnacentral:rRNA from 1 species
GACGAACGCUGGCGGCGUGCUUAACACAUGCAAGUCGAACGGGCCUGUCUUCUUUUUUGGGGGUGGGUUGAGUGGCGAACGGGUGAGUAUCACGUGAGUAACCUGCCCUUCGGUCCUGGAUAACCGCUUGAAAGGGCGGCUAAUACGGGGUGGUCCGGUUGGUCCGCAUGGGCUGGUCGGGAUAGAUUCACUGUGUUUGGUGUUUCGGCGGGGGAUGGGCUCGCGGCCUAUCAGCUUGUUGGUGGGGUGAUGGCCUACCAAGGCGGUGACGGGUAGCCGGCCUGAGAGGGUGGGCGGCCACACUGGGACUGAGAUACGGCCCAGACUCCUGCGGGAGGCAGCAGUGGGGGGUAUUGCACAAUGGGCGGAAGCCUGAUGCAGCGACGUCGCGUGAGGGAUGGAGGCCUUCGGGUUGUGAACCUCUGUUUCCGGUGGUGAAGGCCCUGUCCGUGUGGUGGGGUUGACGGUAGCCGGGGAUGAAGCGCCGGCUAACUACGUG